rnacentral:rRNA from 1 species
AGCGAACGCUGGCGGCAGGCUUAACACAUGCGAGUCGAGCGGGCAUAGCAAUAUGUCAGCGGCAGACGGGUGAGUAACGCGCGGGAACGUACCUUUUGGUUCGGAACAACUGAGGGAAACUUCAGCUAAUACCGGAUAAGCCCUUACGGGGAAAGAUUUAUCGCCGAAAGAUCGGCCCGCGUCUGAUUAGCUAGUUGGUGAGGUAAUGGCUCACCAAGGCGACGAUCAGUAGCUGGUCUGAGAGGAUGAUCAGCCACAUUGGGACUGAGACACGGCCCAAACUCCUACGGGAGGCAGCAGUGGGGAAUAUUGGACAAUGGGCGCAAGCCUGAUCCAGCCAUGCCGCGUGAGUGAUGAAGGCCCUAGGGUUGUAAAGCUCUUUUGUGCGGGAAGAUAAUGACGGUACCGCAAGAAUAAGCCCCGGCUAACUUCGUG